UUAUGUGCAGGCCUGGCAUUUUGCACUGGGCUAUAGAACUACAAAAUGAAUUUUAAAUUAGCAAUAUCAUAAUUGAAUGACAUUUUGAAUUGUUUAUGUAGUGAUCUAAUUCUAUCCACCAAGCAAUUGUAUGUGAAUGUGUGAGACUUAUGGUCAUGGUUAUAGGGAAAUAACAAGAAGAACAAAGUGCAGUAAACGGUAAAACUGUUUGCACUACAAACCAGUACGUUCAUAAUUAAGACAAUACAUUAAAAAUAACAUGGUAAGAUAAACAAGUUUGCAACAGUAAACAGCAAAACAAGCUGUUUGUACAGCUAAUAUAGCUGGAAUGACACAGACACAUUAAAUUUACAAAUGGCCGCGCCCCCUCUUACAGAAAAAAAAUAAGGGGCAUAUGUUUAUUCAUAUGUUUAUUUAUGUAACGUAAGCGUGUGACUUUUAAUGCGUGACGUGCUUUCAUGGGCGUGCGCGCGGACCGGAUGGAGUUGCCAUGGAAACGGAGGGCAACACUGCAAAUGUCACGAGGAAACACCCCGUUUCUCGCUGAUUUCACUGUUUUCAGGAAUGGUUUAAUGUCUUCGAAAAAGUCCGUUUGCAUUUCUACCGUUUUCAGAGGACGUAUCGUCAGAAGGGAGUGUCCAAGAUUUCAAUAUUUCUGAAGGGAGCUGCUGACAGAGAUGUAGGAAGCGCUGAAAAGAUUCUUCAGUGCUGAUGGCCUGCCGCAUCCAGCAGAGUCAGAGUGAACCUCCUUUAAGACAACAUCUCCAAGAUGCUAUUGACCACAAGACUAGUACAGGUUAUUAGAAACGGCACAGCACAGGACUUGCAGGACUUGUGAGGACUUUAGAUGAUACCAGUACUCAAAAGACCUUAGAUGAUGGCAACUAUAGAUGGACAUACAAACUACCGCCACGGCAAAAAAGAUUCUAAUUUGAAAGAAGUUUAUAAUGCACGUUCGCUACUCCCAAUUCAGAAGACUGAAUCAGCCUGUGUAUCUGAAUGAUUCUCAUACUCACUCCUCUCUGCCGCUUCUCACAGAGGAUACAUUUACAGAAGCCUGUUUCGUAAUGCUUGUUUAUACUCGGUAUACUCCAAACCGCAAGACUCUACGAGCGCAUCUGGCAAUAUGGACAAGGCUUGAUGCAUGGCUGCAGCCUGUGUCAACUCACGCUUGUCUCUGUAUUUAACACAAAUGUAAAUUCAGUUUAACUGCAUUGCUAAUUUCACUUAGAAGAAAUGAAACAUUCACCACAUGUUCCACUUGUUCUUAAAAUCCUAAA